UAUGAGUUAGCUUUCAUACAAAAUUGGUUUCACUCAAUUCGGAAUUCUGUAGAGAGAGUUAUGCUCUCUAUAACACAGGCUGCUAGGGUGUCUGCGGGCAGAAACAGAAUAAACUUGCAAAUGAUUCUGGUAUUGAACCAGCAAUCGAAAAAUUAUGAAAAUAUUACCCAACAUAGCCCUAUGAGUUAGCUUUCAUACAAAAUUGGUUUCACUCAAUUUGGAAUUCUGUAGAGAGAGUUAUGCUCUCUACAACACAGACUGUUAGGGUAUCUGCGGGCAAAACAUAACAGAACCCAAUUUUCCCCGGAACCUCAAUUUCGCUCAAAAUCAAUUUUUCUCACCACAUGUUAAC
rnacentral:lncRNA from 1 species